rnacentral:lncRNA from 1 species
UCAGGGUGUAGCUGUAAAUUUUUAUCUUUAACUUGUUAAAUUACAUGAAACAACCAUUAUACUGUAAAAGUCAAGCUAGUAGAAAACGAUAUUUAAAUAUUUUUCUAUUCAACACUCCUUCUUAUGUAUGGGCAUGAAAUUUUUCGCUACACUCAUGACGUGGAUUUGAAUUAAAUAAGAAAAAAUUAUUAAUGCUGAAAGUUUAGUGUGACUCGAAUUUAGAAUCUCAUACUCUGAUAUCAUAUUAAAUUAUAUUAUAUGAAACAAUCUUUCAUACUCUAAAAGGUUAAAAUGACAUAAAACGAUAUUUAAAUAUUAUU